CUGCGACGAGACCCUUGACGGCCGCUGCCCUCUGCAACAUGUUGGUUUAGGCGAUGCAGGUUCCGGAGGCAGGCUUACCGCAGGAGACUCUACGGCUCGCUGCCAAGUUCUUCCUCCGGCCUCCCCCGCGUGCUAUCUGAAGCUAGGAAGUGAACAUCUACCAAAGAAAGAAGCAACAUCCAUAGGGUUAGCCGUUGGGGUAUUGUUUUUAUGUGGGACGCUCUGCAGCUGUGAUGGUGUGGCACGGGCGGCGAGAACGGACCUGCAUCUUUGUUUGAGGCCUCUCAGCCUUUGCGUGGUCCUUUCCUGCAAGACAAUUCUUCAUGCUCUAUUGUAGGGUUAUUGCUUCCAGAUGAGUAGGUGUACAUGCAAAGAAGACAAACCAUAGGCCGGCUACCAAGUGGUCGGAGAGGAACUGGAGAACAGACAUAUGUGCUUGGAGAGGAACUGGAGGACAGCCAUACGUGCCUGACGAAAAGAAGAAAAGUUAUACUAAUUUAUUAGUGUCCGGUUUUGGGCGAUCGGGAUUUGCUUUGCAAGGUCUUGCACUGCAUUGUGACCUAGGUUUUCUUUUGUCGGGGUUUGAUUUGCGUCGUCGUCUUGCCGGUUACAGGGGCAAUUUACACUUAUUUAGUUAAGGAUGUCUUGCUUGGAACCCAUCAAUGGAACAUAUUCUAUGCGCAUCAGCAGCGGCGGCGGCUCUGCGCAUCAACAACAAUUCAGAUGAUCUAUCCCUUAUUGUUUAGCUCAAGACAAUCUACAAACCUGCACGAAUCUCUAUCGGCGUCAUCUGUUUCAGGCCUGGAAGAUGUAUCGGUGGCCUCUAAACCAGUUCAGUCAAACCAUGUAAUGUUGUUGUCUGGCCCAGUCCAGUGAACCGACAUAUUCUUCAUAUAAUCCAGUGGGAAUGCCCUUAUCCACCUAAGUAUCCCUACUUAUAUUAUAUGUCUUAUCUUAGUUCAAGUAGUUGUUUGGAGACACUAAUUUUUGAACUCCUGCAAUGCCUUCUUAUAUUAUAUAUUUAUAUGUAUCAUUUUA